GGCGCGGCGGCGCGCGCCGUACUAAUGCGAAAGUGGUACUCGCGCCCAACUUGCGUAGAUACGCCCGUUUGUUUGAAGUCGAGGUACUCCUUAGUUCAGUCUACUCUGGUUUCAGUCUUCUGUAGGUAUAAGU